rnacentral:pre_miRNA from 1 species
AGUGGGAUAACUGGGUCAAUUGGUAAUUCCAUUCCAAGUUUUCCAAGAAUUCUCCAUAUACUGCUUUCCAGAAUGGCUGCACCAAUUUGCAGUCCCACAAGCAAU